AAAUAGAUUUAUAAUAAUCAAAUCUAAAUUUAAUAAUAUGGGAUAUUACAUUCUACCCCCCUUAUAAGGAUUCCGCCCUCGGAAUCCGCAAAGAGAACUCAAACGUAUCACUUUGAAGAUUCCACCAUACACUUCGUAAUAACGUAUCAUCAUUCACCUUUGAUCGGCCUUGGCAUACCUUUAGCUUUAAUGGAAAAAGGAACAUCAAACUUUCGCGAUUGCAAAAUUCAUUUCCCAAGAAUCGAUCUUUGGGAAUUUUCGAAUAGAACGAGGUGUUUUCAAAAUAGGUCACAUUGGAAUAUAAGAGUGACUGGGAGAUCAAUACGAUCAAAUGAACUUAAUGUUGCGUGUCCACAGUAGACACUACUAAAGGUUGUUAACCUUCUUGUAAUCACAACACACACAAGUGAUGGCGUCCCAUCCAACUCCUAUCACACAGACAGGUAUACCUUGUGUCCCCUAUACAUAGGGUUGUUCAUCCCAAUCAAAUUGAAGAAAUGUUAAGGAAUAUCAAAGAAUAUCAAAGAAUCUCGAGAAUAUCAAAGAACAUCAAGGGAUAUCAAGGAUGAUGAAAGAAUAUCAAGGAAUGUCAAGAAAUGUCAAACAAUAUCAAGGAACAUCACUAUCUCUUCACAACAAACUUUUAUCACACAUCUUUGCUUUCCAACUCAUACCAAUAAUCAAUAUCAAUGUCAUCUUAGAAUUUGAGAAAUUGAAAAUCUCAUUUAUCAAAACUUUUGUAGAAAAGAUAUCAUGAUAAUAUCUCACUGAUGAGAAAACAAUCAAAAGAAUUUUUAGUUGAAGAGAGGUAUUGCCAAGGUCUUCUCAGAUUCCGACUCUACUUCAAUAAAUCAUUGUACGAUAUAUGUCUUCUUUUCAACGUUCUUGAUGAUCAAUCGAUUUGACUCGUAAUAGCCUCGUAAGAUGUCAUCGUAGACGUUAUCGUUCGUAAUAACUCUCGCCCAUGUAGUCCACGUUCUCAUGCUUCAUCCAGUUGCCUUUGAAGUCCAUAACACAACACGUAGCAUAUCUCCGAUUUUCUGAAUCGUCGCCCUGUGGGUUAUGGGCCCACCUUGUCCCGCUUACUUAAAGCAUCGUCGUCGAGGACUAACGUUCUAACUUACUCGCAGACAUCACCUCUAAUAACU
rnacentral:lncRNA from 1 species